AAUCAGUCUGAACAAUGCAGAAUCCACCGGAAUUAGUGUAGAAGGAUUGUAGUAUUUAUUCCACAAAGUGUUCGAAUGAAGUUCUGUCAGCAUAUAAAGUCCAGCUGUCAAUGGGAAACCAAUUAACCGACAAUGAGGAGGGCGAGAGAAGUAGGAUUAGGUACGAGAAGAGACAGCUUCAAAGGCCAGCACCCUGUGCGACGCCACAUAGGUGGUCUUCACAUAAUGACUGAUAACGUUUCCCCAUUUAGCCAAAUCAAUCUGCACUGUCACGUCCGUAAGCGCCAGCGUCAAAGUGGACUCCUUGUGUGGCCACAUUAGUGACUUUGCGCGAGAUUAGUCGAGGUAAUUAUCCGCUAAUCAUCAGGCUAAUGAAGCUGUGAGAGAGUCUCAAGCGUCUCCAAGACAUGACUCCGAGUGGUAGUUUAGAGGAAGAAGGAAGGAAAGAACAUAUUAAAAUAAAUUGAGAAAAUGUCAAGUGCCUGUCUCAGUCGACCAAAAAGCAUGCAGGGACUCAGGAGUUGAUGAUUUGCAGCCUCGGAGAGCUAUGGUUUAAGGCUUUGGUUAGCAUUCUGUCUCAUUUGAUGACUCAGCAUGUGGGAUGUGCUAG
ensembl:lncRNA